GACGAACGCUGGCGGCGUGCUUAACACAUGCCAGUCGAACGGAAAGGCCCUGCUUUUGUGGGGUGCUCGAGUGGCGAACGGGUGAGUAACACGUGAGUAACCUGCCCUUGACUUUGGGAUAACUUCAGGAAACUGGGGCUAAUACCGGAUAGGAGCUCCUGCUGCAUGGUGGGGGUUGGAAAGUUUCGGCGGUUGGGGAUGGACUCGCGGCUUAUCAGCUUGUUGGUGGGGUAGUGGCUUACCAAGGCUUUGACGGGUAGCCGGCCUGAGAGGGUGACCGGCCACAUUGGGCCUGAGAUACGGCCCAGACUCCUACGGGAGGCAGCAGUGGGGAAUAGUGCACAAUGGGCGGAAGCCUGAUGCAGCAACGCCGCGUGCGGGAUGACGGCCUUCGGGUUGUAAACCGCUUUCGCCUGUGACGAAGCGUGAGUGACGGUAAUGGGUAAAGAAGCACCGGCUAACUACGUG
rnacentral:rRNA from 1 species